UACAGAGGGUGCAAGCGUUGUUCGGAAUUAUUGGGCGUAAAGCGCGUGUAGGCGGCUUUGCAAGUCGGGUGUGAAAGCCCUCGGCUCAACCGAGGAAGUGCGCCCGAAACUGCAGAGCUUGAGUACCGGAGAGGAUGGCGGAAUUCCCCAAGUAGAGGUGAAAUUCGUAGAUAUCGGGAGGAACACCUGUGGCGAAAGCGCUCUGCUGGACCUUAACUGACACUGAGGGACGAAAGCUAGGGGAGCGAAUGGG
rnacentral:rRNA from 1 species